rnacentral:rRNA from 1 species
UGGGGAAUAUUGGACAAUGGGCGAAAGCCUGAUCCAGCCAUGCCGCGUGUGUGAAGAAGGUCUUCGGAUUGUAAAGCACUUUAAGCUGGGAGGAAGGGCAGUAAGCGAAUACCUUGCUGUUUUGACGUUACCGACAGAAUAAGCACCGGCUAACUCUGUGCCAGCAGCCGCGGUAAUACAGAGGGUGCAAGCGUUAAUCGGAAUUACUGGGCGUAAAGCGGGCGUAGGUGGUUCGUUAAGUUGAAUGUGAAAGCCCCGGGCUCAACCUGGGAACUGAAUCCGAGACUGGCGGGCUAGAGUAGGGCAGAGGGGGGUGGAAUUUCCUGUGUAGCAGUGAAAUGCGUAGAUAUAGGGAGGAACACCAGUGGCGAAGGCAGCCACCUGGGCUCAUACUGACGCUGAGGUGCGAAAGCGUGGGGAGCAAACAGG